AGAGUUUGAUCUGGCUCAGAACGAACGCUGGCGGCAGGCUUAACACAUGCAAGUCGAACGCUCGUAGCAAUACGGGAGUGGCAGACGGGUGAGUAACGCGUGGGAACAUACCCUCCGGUUCGGAAUAGCUCAGGGAAACUUGGAUUAAUACCGGAUACGGCUGAGAGGCGAAAGAUUUAUCGCCGGAGGAUUGGCCCGCGUUCGAUUAGCUUGUUGGUGAGGUAACGGCUCACCAAGGCGAUGAUCGAUAGCUGGUCUGAGAGGAUGAUCAGCCACAUUGGGACUGAGACACGGCCCAAACUCCUACGGGAGGCAGCAGUGGGGAAUAUUGGACAAUGGGCGCAAGCCUGAUCCAGCCAUGCCGCGUGAGUGAUGACGGCCUUAGGGUUGUAAAGCUCUUUCGCUCGGGACGAUAAUGACGGUACCGAGAUAAGAAGCCCCGGCUAACUUCGUGCCAGCAGCCGCGGUAAUACGAAGGGGGCUAGCGUUGUUCGGAAUUACUGGGCGUAAAGCGCGUGUAGGCGGGUCUUUAAGUCAGGGGUGAAAUGCCAAGGCUCAACCUUGGAACUGCCUUUGAUACUGGAGAUCUUGAGUCCGGGAGAGGUGAGUGGAAUUGCGAGUGUAGAGGUGAAAUUCGUAGAUAUUCGCAAGAACACCAGUGGCGAAGGCGGCUCACUGGCCCGGAACUGACGCUGAGACGCGAAAGCGUGGGGAGCAAACAGGAUUAGAUACCCUGGUAGUCCACGCUGUAAACGAUGGAUGCUAGCCGUUGGGGAGCUUGCUCUUCAGUGGCGCAGCUAACGCUUUAAGCAUCCCGCCUGGGGAGUACGGUCGCAAGAUUAAAACUCAAAGGAAUGAC
rnacentral:rRNA from 1 species